CUUGGUCAAUUGGCGAAAGCCAGAACCAGUCAUGCCGCGUGCAGGAUGAAGGCCCUACGGGUCGUAAACUGCUUUUAUUCGGGAAGAAAAAGUCUGUUUCCACAGACCUUGACGGUACCGAUUGAAUAAGGACCGGCCAACUCCGUGCCAGCAGCCGCGGUAAUACGGAGGGUCCAAGCGUUAUCCGGAUUCACUGGGUUUAAAGGGUGCGCAGGCGGCUAAGUAAGUCAGUGGUGAAAGCCUUCGGCUCAACCGGAGAAUUGCCAUUGAAACUACUUAGCUUGAGUGCAGUAGAGGUAGGCGGAAUGUAGCAUGUAGCGGUGAAAUGCAUAGAUAUGCUACAGAACACCGAUAGCGAAAGCAGCUUACCACACUGUAACUGACGCUGAGGCACAAAAGCAUGGGUAGCAAACA
rnacentral:rRNA from 1 species